GACGAACGCUUGCGGCGUGCUUAACACAUGCAAGUCGAACGGAAAGGCCCUGCUUUUGUGGGGUGCUCGAGUGGCGAACGGGUGAGUAACACGUGAGUAACCUGCCCUUGACUUUGGGAUAACUUCAGGAAACUGGGGCUAAUACCGGAUAGGAGCUCCUGCUGCAUGGUGGGGGUUGGAAAGUUUCGGCGGUUGGGGAUGGACUCGCGGCUUAUCAGCUUGUUGGUGGGGUAGUGGCUUACCAAGGCUUUGACGGGUAGCCGGCCUGAGAGGGUGACCGGCCACAUUGGGACUGAGAUACGGCCCAGACUCCUACGGGAGGCAGCAGUGGGGAAUAUUGCACAAUGGGCGGAAGCCUGAUGCAGCAACGCCGCGUGCGGGAUGACGGCCUUCGGGUUGUAAACCGCUUUCGCCUGUGACGACGCGUGAGUGACGGUAAUGGGUAAAGAAGCACCGGCUAACUACGUGCCAGCAGCCGCGGUGAUACGUAGGGUGCGAGCGUUGUCCGGAUUUAUUGGGCGUAAAGGGCUCGUAGGUGGUUGAUCGCGUCGGAAGUGUAAUCUUGGGGCUUAACCCUGAGCGUGCUUUCGAUACGGGUUGACUUGAGGAAGGUAGGGGAGAAUGGAAUUCCUGGUGGAGCGGUGGAAUGCGCAGAUAUCAGGAGGAACACCAGUGGCGAAGGCGGUUCUCUAGGCCUUUCCUGACGCUGAGGAGCGAAAGCGUGGGGAGCGAACAGGCUUAGAUACCCUGGUAGUCCACGCUGUAAACGGUGGGUACUAGGUGUGGGGUCCAUUCCACGGGUUCCGUGCCGUAGCUAACGCUUUAAGUACCCCGCCUGGGGAGUACGGCCGCAAGGCUAAAACUCAAAGGAAUUGACGGGGCCCCGCACAAGCGGCGGAGCAUGCGGAUUAAUUCGAUGCAACGCGUAGAACCUUACCUGGGUUUGACAUGGAUCGGGAGUGCUCAGAGAUGGGUGUGCCUCUUUUGGGGUCGGUUCACAGGUGGUGCAUGGCUGUCGUCAGCUCGUGUCGUGAGAUGUUGGGUUAAGUCCCGCAACGAGCGCAACCCUUGUUCACUGUUGCCAGCACGUUAUGGUGGGGACUCAGUGGAGACCGCCGGGGUCAACUCGGAGGAAGGUGGGGAUGACGUCAAGUCAUCAUGCCCCUUAUGUCCAGGGCUUCACGCAUGCUACAAUGGCUGGUACAGAGAGUGGCGAGCCUGUGAGGGUGAGCGAAUCUCGGAAAGCCGGUCUCAGUUCGGAUUGGGGUCUGCAACUCGACCUCAUGAAGUCGGAGUCGCUAGUAAUCGCAGAUCAGCAACGCUGCGGUGAAUACGUUCCCGGGGCU
rnacentral:rRNA from 1 species